UGGGGAAUAUUGGGCAAUGGGGGAAACCCUGACCCAGCAACGCCGCGUGAAGGAAGAAGGCUUUCGGGUUGUAAACUUCUUUUACCAGGGACGAAGAAAGUGACGGUACCUGGAGAAUAAGCCACGGCUAACUACGUGCCAGCAGCCGCGGUAAUACGUAGGUGGCCAGCGUUGUCCGGAUUUACUGGGUGUAAAGGGCGCGUAGGCGGGACAGCAAGUCAGAUGUGAAAUGCCAGGGCUUAACCCUGGAGCUGCAUUUGAAACUGUUGUGCUUGAGUGAUGGAGAGGCAAGUGGAAUUCCUAGUGUAGCGGUGAAAUGCGUAGAUAUUAGGAGGAACACCAGUGGCGAAGGCGGCUUGCUGGACAUUAACUGACGCUGAUGCGCGAAAGCGUGGGGAGCAAACA
rnacentral:rRNA from 1 species